UCCUGGCUACAAUCUUGACUACAGUCGAUCAGCAAAUGUCACUGUAGUUUUUGUUUACAGUAGAUUACAAUGCAAUUGCAAAUAUUUACCACAAUUGCAGCUCUAUUUAUUUCAUUUAUAUGCAUCCUUCUGCUCAUCAUCAACACUGAAGACAUCAAAGGAACAGUACAGCUCUUGUAUGGGAUAGUCCUGGAUGCUGGAUCCUCUCACACUUCUAUGUUCAUCUACAACUGGCCAGCAGACAAGCAGAACUGUACCGGCAUAGUCAGUCAACACAGCGGGUUUCAUGCCAAAGGAGUUGGGAUCUCCAGUUAUGCAGGUAGCAGAGGAGGAUCAGCCCGUAUAGUCUUGAGGAAUGUAUGGAACAAGCCAUGCAGGAGAUCCCAAAGUCAAGAAAACAAACCCACCCCAUCUUAUCUC